GGCUCCAGGCCUCGGUCGUAGCGGGCGGCGCAAGUCCCAGCACGGAGGUGCCGGGCGUCGGCAGACCCAGACCGACGGCAGGCGCGAAGGUGGCCAAGGCGAGCAGGAGACCCCACAUGGCGGGAUCCAAAGGGUCUCUAUGUAAAGAAUCUGAAUCACCCCAAAUCACCAUACCGACGGCUCAAUCUCACGUGAUCUCUCGAAAGAAAUCCCACGCCGAACCCCUGGAACUAGGUCCCCAGGGGCGACCUCACAAACACCAGCUCUGGAGCCCCUCGAGGUUUCCUGCUAUGGAAUUAAGGAUUUUGCUUUCCUACCACCCUCCCCAACACGUAUCUCCAAGCGCACAAACAAACUCCUUCCAUCCUUCCAAAGAGCUAAGUCACUGGAGUCAAUAUUCAGUGCUUAUAUUAUGACCAUGUAAAUAUUAUUGUCCAACUUUGUGUGUUUCUGAAGUUAGCAAUUGCUUUGUUUUAUCAUUUGUUUGGUUUUCUAGGCAUCGAUUACUAAUUUAAUCCCAAAGCGACCAACAGAACUGAACAUUUUGAACAUCUCUAAAAACCAGAGAUAAUCUCAUUUUCUCCUGGAGACAUGCCUCCUGGAGCAUCUGGCUUUUGAUUCCAGCCCGGGUUGUUUGCUUUCUUCACUCGGAAGCACAGCUGACACCCUGAGCCUCUUUCAUCAUUGCUUUCCUGUGUUUAGCCUCAUUUCUUGACUCCCAUAUUGUCCCCUUAGUUUAAUGCCUUGUUAUGCUGAGACACAUCCUCCAGUAACUUUCUAGAAAAGAGUGUAUGUGAGGUCAGAUUUUUGAGAAUGUGCAUGGCUUAAAAUGUCUUUAUUCUACUCUCAUACUUGAGAAUCAUUUGGCCAUAUCUAUGUUUUUAGGUUGGAAAUUAUUUUCCCUCAGAAUUCUGCGGGCAUUGCUUUAUUACACUGGGAGGAGCCAGAGCAAAAACAAUCAAUGAAUGGUCCCAAGAGCCAGGGGCAUUGGCUCUUUGUCAAUGUCAAGUUCACCAGGCUUGAGUCUUUGGACAGGGGCUGCUAGAGGUAGAUAUGCUGCCUGAUUCCUGCAUCUCCUCUCUGAGGGGCUGUAUGGCCACCAGCCCCAACAUUUUUUCCUCGAAGUAUGAUAUGUG